CUUCCAUUCAUCAUUCUGUCCAGAUUUAAAUGGAUUCACUAUUAACUCACGAAAAUAACAUGGGAUUCCUUUUUUUUUUUCUUUAUGUAAAAUGAAGACCUAACAGCUUUCCAAUAAUUUUUUAACUUAUAAAUUAAUGUAAAAUUUUAAUCAUCAUCUACUUGAUUCAUGAAACCAGCCACGCUUAAUUUCUAAAUAGAUUAAGUUUUCUUUGAAGUUUCCCAUAAAUGUAAAAUUGAAGAUUUCACGAGAAUCAACAGUCAUUUUUAAAUUUCCCCUUGAAAAAAAAAAAAAAGGGAUUAAUGAAGAACGGUUUUAACCUCGAGGGUUUUGGCAGUAGAAGGCAAAGAUGAUAAUAAUUCAACAAAUAGGUUACAGCAUGACAUACAAAGAGAAGAUUUAAACUUGAGAAAUUACCACCUCCUCUUCUCACUGUGAUGAACACUUAAAACGGCUUGCUUCCAUGGAGAAUAUUCCUUAUUUGAGUUGAAAUUAAACUCUUCUACUUGAUUGUUAAUCCUGUAAAUAAUUGUUGUAUUUCAUUAUUUUGGGUGUGGCAUAAAAGUUAAUCAGAGAGAGAAAUAUUGUGAGCCUAGCACCUUUAGAAUUUUCAUACAAAAAGUAGAAAAUGUGUGUUAAAGCUUGAUUUUAUUUUUCUUUGUAAUACCUAGGAAUUGGGUUAGUAAGUGAAAUUCUAUAUGGUUAUAACAAUUUUCAUAUAGUGAAAUGUUUUAAUUGUCCGUUUAAUUUGUGCAUUGUAUUCUUUAUUUUUCCUUUUUUGCUAAUAUUUUCUUGAAAAACAAAAAAUCCUACGAAUAGUUAGAAAUAAAGGGAAUUAGCGUAAAAUUUCUAGCAAUGCUAAGUGAGCAAAGUGGAAUAAUCGAAAAAGAGAAAAACAAGAUUAAUUUCUAGAUGAGAAGAAACACAAGAUGGCCUCAAAUAAAUGUGAAUUUUUCAAUUUCGUGAGUCAUGAAAACUAUGUAACCAACCUGCAAUGCAGAACUGAAAAACACAGAACGCAGGGCAGAAAGCAACUAAUGCAAGUCAUUUUGCUGUCGCAUCAAAACAUGUAAUUAAGACCACGAACCUACUUGAUACCAACUCAUGGUGAUCUAGCAUGCAGUUACUUAACUCUCAAGAUCUGACAUUUCUAUGUCAAACCAAGGACAGAAUAAGAAGACAGGCAAAUUAUCUCAUUUUUAUUCUAGUUCAAACUCAUAAUAUUCGCAACUUAAGCUCUGCCUUCUCUUGUUGAUUAAAAUUUUUGCUCUUGAGAAAACAAUUACCUCCUGAACUCUUCUCGGAAGAAUUGUGAGAGUAAGUUCGAUUAUUAAACAAAAUAUGUAGAAAAGGAGACAUGCAUGAUUCCCACUAGAAAUUAAAUUCUGUAACACAUAGAAAAUGAGAAAAUGAAAAUAAUAAGUUGGAUACACAAGCCAUAAAAAUCACUACAGUAUUUGAAGAACCUAAUAAAUCCCCUAAAGACCAGAACCUAAAUUCCUCAACUCAAAACAUUAUACCGAAUGACUCAAUUCACAAAAAUAAACAUUAUCACUGAAGAAAAGUCUUUUAACGUAAACAAUUUGGCACAUACAAACGCACACAGAGUCGGCGAAUCUUGGAAAAAGAAAAAUUUUAGACUUUCAAUGAUGCUCGUACAAAGAAAAUCAAACCCGUAAAGCUAUGCUGCCUAUGCAUCAAAGAAAUGAACAUUAUACACGUGUAAAGGUCAACCCUUUUAGAUCAGAAUCAGAUGGAGCAAAAAAUAAACAGUAAACAUUGCACCCUUCGACCACCGAAAAAUACAAUUUAAAAGGUCAAAAUAAAAAUAAAAGAUCCGAAAAUGAAGUUAAACCGUAUGACAGCAACGACAACUUUUUUACUGUGCAUAGGGAGGGCAUAGGGAGGUGGCAGAAUAAGCACAUCUGGGGAUCUGAUUUGAAUUUUGCUAUUUUGCCCGAAUUUUUUUGUCGUAGUGGUUGAUAUCCUCUCAAAUGCUAUUGGUCUUGUGUGAAUAAAAAAGUUGAAAAAAAAGUGUGGUCCCCUCCAUUGUGAGAGCUGAGCAGCUCCUUUGUCAAAAAAAUUCAGGCACUAUAGCGGAAUUGAUCUGAUUUUCAUCUAAGAAAGCCAAAUCGUG
rnacentral:lncRNA from 1 species